rnacentral:lncRNA from 1 species
AAUGUCUUGUUCCUCUUUGUGGUGAAGAAGAAAAUUCUGUCCAUAUCUCAGAUGAAAAGUUAUCAGACAAUUUUCAAGAUUCAGAACAGCUAGUAGAGAAGAUAUGGUAUCGUGUAAUGGAUGAUAGCUUGGUUGUUGGAGUGAAAACUACAUCUUCUUUAAAGCUAGCACAUGGAAGAUCUUUUUGCACUCCUCGCAGCAUUCCACAAAUCUUGUUUUCAAAUCACGUCACCUGGCUAUGCCCUGAAUUCAAUGAAGGUGUGGCUCUUAGAACAUAUGAAAUGUGAAAUAAUCAAAGAAUUUCCAGAAGUGUACUUUUGUGAAAGGCCGGGAAGUUUCUAUGGGACACUCUUCACCUGGAAACAGAGAACACCAUUUGAAGGGAUUUUAAUAAUCUAUUCCAGGAAUCAAACAGUUAUGUUCCAGUGCCUUCAUAAUCUCAUCAGAAUUCUCCCUAUAAACUGUUUCCUCAAAAAUCUAAAAUCAGGAAGUGAGAAUUUCCUAAUUGAUAAUAUGGCAUUUACGUUGGAGAAGGAACUAGUCACCCUUAGUUCUGUUUCUUCUGCCAUAGCUAAACAUGAAAGCAAUUUUAUGCAGAGGUGUGAAGUGAGCAAAGGAAAGAGUAGUGUCGUCGUGGGUGCUUUAUCAGACAGAAGGGAAAACAUCCAUCCCUACAGAAAAGAACUUCAGAGAGAAAAGAAGAAAAUGUUGCAAACGAACCUAAAAGUGAGUGGUACCCUUUACAGGGAAAUAACUUUAAAAGUAGCUGAGGUUCAGUUGAAAUCAGACUUCGCUGCACAGAAACUGAGUAAUUUAUAAUUAUAAUUUCAAUUUGAUCAUAUUUUAAAAUAUGUUUUCA